CAGCUAAGUAAGCUGUAGGGUCCCUCCCAGAUCACAGAGGAGGGGAGGCCGUGGUGGUCUCUCAGUGCAGGAAGCCUGAUGGAUAAGAAGGAAGCAGAGCACCAGACUCCUAACAUGGGCAGUUUGCCCAAAAACCCCAUCCCCCCCUGAAGUCUUGGAUGAUUAGAUGUUUCUAACAGCCUGUAUUCUUGUUGCAUUCUGCUACAUACUACAUGCUUAGUUUCAUGGGUAAAUAUAGUAGCAUUUCCCCUUAAAGCAAAAUUAUAUAUUACCCAUACUUGCUGAGAGAAUAGGACAAAAGAAAGGUGGAAUAACUGGUUUCACUGUGGCUUGUUGGCAGAUGUCACAAACUAAUACUGGAGAGAAUACUCUCUAGGCAAAUAUUACCUCUGGUUAAGACUGUAGCUUGGUCAUGGGCCAAGCAAAUUUUAACCUCCUUUUUUCCCCACUUCCUUAAAAAAAAAAAACUUUUUAAGAAUAGAUAUUCUUCUCCGUAGCUGAAAGUCAGAGCAAGUCCAUUGUCCUUGAACUGGGAAGGUGAGUCCCAAGAGGUUACCCAUGUGAUCAGCAUCCUGGCCUCUGGACUACACGGGAAACUUCAGGCUGGUCUGGGGCUUCCCUGCUUGGGUGUGAAGACUCGGCACUAAUCCUCCCGUCAGUUCCCUCUGCCCCAACCAGUGAAACAUGAUGUGUUCACCAGUGACUUUGCAGCUUAUGUUCCUUUUCCUCAUCUGUAAAAGGCAGAUUGCUUGUUUGUCAGAAUGACUUGAACCUGGUUUGGAGCAUGUGUGGAAAUACACAGCAUUUUCUUUUUAGGAGAUUUUUUUCUUUAGUGUUUUGUUGCUAUUGUUUGUUUUGGCUCAUUUUGUUUGCUUUUUAGGGCCACGUAAGUGGCAUAGGAAAGUUCCCAGGCUCGGUGUCAAAUUGGAGCUGUAGCUGCUGGCCUACACCAUAGCCAUACCAGAUCCGAGCUGCAUCUGUGACCUUGCUGCAGCUUGCAGCAACACCAGAUCCUUAACCCACUGAGUGAGGUCAGGGAUCGAACCCACAUCCUCUUGGAUACUAGUCGGGUUUUUAACUCACUGGGCCACAAAGGGAACUCCUAUUGUUGUUUUUAUCAAAGUAUAGUUGAUUUACAAUGGUGUACCAAUUUCUGCUAUACUGCAAACAGACCUAGUCAUACACACACACACACACACACACACACACACACACACACACACAUUUCCUUUCUUACAUUAUCUUCCAUCAUAGUCUAGCCCACAAGACUGGAUGUAGUUCCCUUUGCUAUACAGUAGGACCUCAUUAGUUAUCCAUUCUAAAUGUAGUAGUUUGCACCUCUAAUCCCCAAACUCCCCAAAACCCCAAAUUCCUAGUCCAUCCCACUCUCUCUCCCCUCCUCCUUGGCAACCAUAUGUCUGUUCUCUAUGUCUAUGAAUCUGUUUCUGUUCUGUAGAUAAGUUCAUUUGUGCCAUAUUUUAGAUUCUGUAUAUAUGUGAUAUCAUAUGAUACUUGUCUUUCUCUUUCUGACUUCACUUAGUAAGAGAAUUGCUAGUUGCUUCCAUAUUGCUGCAAAUGGCAUUUUUUUUUCAUUCCUUUUUAUGGCUGAGUAGUAUUCCAUUGUGUAUAUGUACCACAUCUUCUUAAUUCAUUCAUCUGUGGAUGGACCUUUAUGUGGUUUCCCUGUCUUGGCUAUUGUAAAUAGUGCUGCUAUGAACAUAGGGGUGCAUAUAACUUUUUGAAUUAUAGUUUUGUCCACAUCCCAGGAGUGGGAUUGCUGGAUCGUAUGGUAGUUCUAUAUUCAGUUUUCUGAGGAAGCUUAGGAGAUAUUUUAGCUAUCUAAUUAUAAACAACAGAAGAAACAAACCAAAAAACAGGCUUUCUUGGAUACCCAGUCACCAGUGUUUUAAUAUAUGAAAAUUGUAAAAACAAUUUUGUAGAAUGGGGAACUUCCCAUGGUGUUUUGGGACUAGCUGCUGACACCCUGGGGUUUCUAGCCAGGAGAGAAUCCAUACUGGAUCAAACUCUAAAAGAGAUGGGUAGAUUAAAAAAAGACAAACAGUCCUUCCAGGUUUCCCAGAAGCAUGGUGUGGGAAUGACUGUCCCAAGCAGAGGCUCUGUGCUCUUUGGUUUCUGACAAGUGCAGCUGCUAAAGGAUGGUCAGUGUUUUAAUAAUGAGACGUCAUUCCCCUUUCAACAGUUUAUGUGAAUUUUCACGCCUACCAUGAAGGCUGUAGGGUCUUGCAGACCUCUGUCUCUGGUUGAUCACAAAAGACCCCUUUUGCUCCAGCUGCAGAAUAAGGUGACUUUUACCCAUAAAGGAAGUCACAAUGUAUGUAUGAAAAUCUGGCUUUUAAAAUUCUGUUUCCUGAUAAAAUCUUAGAGAGUAAAGUCCAAUCAUUUUCAUAGUUGCUGAUGUUCUAACUGGAGGAAGUGUUCUCAGGGGCCGGCUGGUCAUCUCUCUUUUGGCUGGUAGUGGUCUGGGACAGAAGAUGGGAGAGCUGUUGGACUAGGAGAAGUGCAGCUUUGGGAUCGUCACAGCAAAAUUAUUUGAAGUCUCAAUUUUUAUUCCCAUUGGCAUGUAAUAAGAACCUGGCCCUUAGCUAUAAAAUGCAAGGCAAAAUGUUUAAUAUAUUGUGAAGUAUUAAGUGACUGGGUGGCACGUUUCUUGACCCAUUGUCCUGGCUUCACAUUUUGGGAGCACAUGAAAUACACACUUCAGUACAUUUCUGGUUGUCUUAUCCCUGUGAUCUUCAGUGCACCUCAGUGGGCAGGGGUGGUGUCUGGAUAAUAAACUCGUCGUAACUCCAUCACCAAGGUGAGCGUCCUUUGCUGGCAGCAGAACUGAUCCUCAGUUACCUGCAGGAGGAAGACAUGCAUGAUUUCUGCCAGGGUCUGAUUUUCCACCCCCUGGACUCCCCGAAAAGCAAAGCCGUUUCAGCAGCACGGUUCCAAUACGCUGGCAGGGCAAGGGUUGGCUUGUCCUCUUACAAACACAGUUUAGCAGGAUGCACUCAUAAAUGAAAAAUGAUCUGAGGGCUGUGGGUGGGGCCCUCGCACUCAGGAGGUGCAGCGGAGAGGCGGAGGGGAGAGAGAGAGAAGAGACAGCGCUCACGCUCCUGGGCUCAGUGGAGUAUGGGGACUUGGCAGGAAGUCGGAGCAGGCACUGGCAUGGCUCACAUUUUUGUUGAUAGUUAAUAACCCAGGACAUGAAAGAACUGAAUGGAGGAGGAAAAUGAAGCACAACAUACUUUGGAGUCGGUCCUAUUCCAGCAGCUGUGAAACACAGUGGAGAUUGCUCACCUGAUCAGCCUGUGAAGCAGGUAGGAGGGGAGACCUGAGUGGCCAGGAGAAUCUUAUUUUCUCUCUGCACACAACUUACAUGUCUUCCAAAGUUCCUUUUUUUUUUUUUUAAGUCUAUAAGGAAUGAGUAGAUAUUAUUGACAUAAGAAACAGACUGAAUUGUGCUGAUAUCUGCCCAGGGCAGAGUUUUUCCUCGGUUACUAGUGUGAUAACCAGAUGACAGCUAUAUUCUAUGGAGUGCCUUAAAAAAAUCACCCCAAACCAUACAGCAUUUGGGUUAAGUCAGUUUAAAAAUUGGCAGAUAAUCAGUGAACCGCAGAUACUGUUUUAGAACAAAUACUUUGAAAAUGGUCACCCAGGCUUGAUUUCCAGGCUUGACUGUUGCUCUGUUUUCAUAUUUCAGAGCUAACAAGGUGCUAGCUAAUUUUUACUGGCUUUUGUAACAAAGGAGGUGGAGGUAUAACAGCUGUGAAAUAUCCAGAAAUUGACUGGGGUCCAGAGUGAAGCCUGAAUGCACUAAUGUUUUCUCCAUUAAGGCAGCUGCCUCUGCUCCGCUCCUAAACCAGGGAAUUGGAAAGAAUGGUGAGAGUGGAGUGUGGAUCCUGAAUAUUUGUCUGGGGGCAGGGCAGGGGAUGUGAGGGAGAAAGGGUUGGAAAUUGUCACUGUGCCGUCUUGGCACCCAGGAGGAGAAAAUAAAUGAGGAGGGUCAUGGGUGGCAGCCACCUGCAAGGACAAUUUAAAGACUGAUUUGUGGCUCCCGAGGUUGUAGCUGAGUCUCAAAGCAUCCCUUCCCUCGUCGGGGCUCGUGAUAAGAGAAGCAACACAGAAAAAAGACCAUAGCAAGCCUGGGUUUCUGAACCAUUUCCAGGCUUUGCUUCUGAUAGAUGCCUGGAUAAUUUGACCUGGAUUUCCCCUGCAAUGAAUCGGUCAGGGUGCUAUGAAAUUGAGCUGAUGUGGGCUAGGUCGGAAGAAGUGCGUGUGGUCGGCAUGACAGGAGCGUCAGAAUUAGGCAGAGAACUUGAUUUCAGUCGAACAGUCCCGCCCGAAUGCUGGCGCACUCAGAGCCUUAGAGAUGCCCUAGUAGCAGAAGGGGUGUGUCUGGGAAGGCAGAUGUGGGAGCGGCUUCAGUGGUGCUGACUGGCUGGCUGUUGCCCUCAUGCUGUGGUGGCCAAGUCCUGUGGCUUUGCAUUUUAGGCCCAGAGGCUGGGAGAUGGCCAUGCUUAGUCAAGGCAAGCCUGAACCUUCUCUCUAACUCCAUAGUCUUCCACAGCUAGCCCUAUUCACGGGUGGCAGAGUGGCACUUCUGUGGUCUUUUAGGAAACCUGGCCACCUCCUCCAGCCUCACUCUGUUCUUUCUUGCCUACUGUCCACCUGUUGGGUGAGUCCCCGGGGUCCCCCAUCCUUCACACUGGUUUGUCCUGGGUGCUAUUUGCAGGAAAUUAAGCCAAGCAAGAGGAGCAGGCUCCUCUGUAUAGGGUCCAUUCUGGAUGCAAUCAGAGAGUGGUACAUUCUGGUCCAUGGGCCAAACCCAGCCUGUUUUUGUAAGGCUCCAGAGCGAGGAAAUGUGUUUUCCAUCUUAAAGUGUUGAAGAAACAAACCCCAAAUAUAUGACCUGUUGGAGCCAACAUUUGCCAACCCUGAUUGACAUCACUCAGGAGCAGGGUGUCCCGUGGAUCCAGCCACUCAUUAAGUCCUCGGCAGUUCAAAUGGGCUGCCGUUUAGCACCUGGCUUUAGUUUCUCAAUCUGUGUUCCAUGGCCGUACUGCUUCCGAAAGGGAAGAUUCCAGAGCAGAAAGUUGAAGUUUUUCUGCAGGGUCCAAACAUGAGGAAAGAAAUGUUAGGUGAACUAUGAUCUGUAGGUGGGUUUUCAUCCUCUCCCUCCCUGGUGAACCUGCUGGUGUAGUUACAGCCACCAGACCUACCACGUGUUGACUGUGUCUGCCACUGAAAGAAUGCCACGGGGGAACCAAAACUCUGCUGUCUUACUCAGAAAUGAUCCAGUUCCUUUUUUCCUCUUUUACAGACUGAAUGCUGGUCAGACAGGUACAACCUGAGUUGUUUGGUGUUGCCCUUUGGAAAAAAGAUGUUUUCUCUAAUAAUAAUAAUAGAUUUCAUUAUUUUUUUUAAUUUAUUUUUUUGUCUUUUCUAGGGCCGCACCCACAGCAUAUGGAGGUUCCCAGGCUAGGGGUCUAAUCGGAGCUGUAGCUGCUGGCCUACACCACAGCCACAGCAACGCGGGAUCCAAGCCGCCUCUGUGACCCACACCACAGCUCACGGCAAUGCCGGAUCCUUAACCCACUGAGCAAGGCCAGGGAUUGAACCCACAACCUCAUUGUUCCUAGUCGGAUGCAUUAACCACUGAGCCACAACGGGAACUCCAGGAUUUCAUUAUUAAUGUCAUUUUUCAUAAGGGAAGAGGAAAAUCCGGUGACCUUGCUCAUGUUUAACUUGUGUCAAAACGGCAGGCCUGGCUGUGUGUCUAAGUUCUGAAAGUGGCUUCUUGGCCAUGGAAGAAACACAGGAAAGUUCCUCACAAGGCGUUUGUAGUUUAAGAAGAAAAAACCAAACGGCCAGUGUAAUUUUUUUUUUCCUUCAGGACCUUGCAACCAUCUCUCCUCCUGUAUUUGGAAACGGGAUGCUGUCAGUAGAGAAGAAUGGGGGUGGGGCCUCCUUUGACAGAUGGACACAAGCGAGGAAGGAUGAAAAUAUGUACAUGCGGUGCCCAUGGGAGCUGGCGCCUGAAAAACAAGAUGGCGGUUGUCCACGUGACACGGCAGGUUGUCAGAGCGGGCAAGGGUGGGCCCUUUCAUGUACCACGUGAGCUAGGCUGCUCCUUCGCCAGUAUUUAGAAAGGGGGUUGGCUCUGAAUGUAGAGAUUAAGCAACCUGCUAUUCCUGUAUGCACCAGAAUUUCAGACACCGUCAGAAACCUGAUUUGCGUAACUGCUGAAACUCAACUGGAAGCCAACCAAAUGGAGGCCUGGGCUCCCCAAGCGAAGGGCAGUUAGUCAGAGAUCACAGCACCUGAGGGAAUUUAUCAGGAGAGCCCAAGACGGUGUGGUCUGUGGGGCUGGACUCAAUGGGGCAGGCUCUGAGGUGAAGGGUUGGUUUGGGGCCCCUACACGAGUCAAGGGUAUGGAUCUCAGAGACCUAGAACGACCUGGUAUCUCAGGGAAACAAGCAGAGCCUUUUCACUUCUGAGCCAUGCAACCAAGCACUUUUUUUUUUGGUCUUUUCAGGGCUGCAUCCAUGGCAUAUGAAGAUUCUCAGGCUAGGGGUCUAAUCAGAGCUGUAGUUGCCAGCCACAGCCACAGCCACGCCAGAUGCGAGCCACGUCUGCGACCUACACCACAGCUCACAGCAACACCAGAUCCUUAACCCACUGAGCGAGGCCAGGGAUCGAACCCGCAACCUCAUGAUUCCUAGUCGGAUUUGUUGCCACUGCGCCACAUCGGAAACUCCCCAGGAAGGCUCUUAAAGAGACAGAGGCAACCAGACAAUCAGUCAAAGUUUGACCAUGAGCUGAAGUGGAGUACAAGCAUGAGCAGCCCUUAAUUAGCCCGCUCACUUAGAGGAUGUUGGGAGAAUGAAGUGUUUUGGCUCAAACCUGGUGCAUGUGCCCUUCCUUUUGGCUGUCUGGACAAAGCUGGAAUCUGACCUCUGCUCUUCAGCUUUUUCCUGAUGGUGUAAGGGAUAAAAGACAGCGCUGAAUGUGUGCACACAUGUGCAAAAGCGUGUAAACCUAAAGGAGAGGAACAGCCGAGCAUAUGGAAGUCAUGAUUCUGAGUUAGAAAACUGGUGACCAUGUCCAUGAAAAAGAAUCAGUAAUUUCACGUCUUGAUGGCUGGCAGGGAUCCCUUUAUGUGGUUUUGUGUGCAUGUUCUUAAGAACUCCUAUAGGCAAUGCACCCUCUGCUCCAAACAUGAUCUCUAUACAUUUCUUGCAGUGGCUUCUGGGAGUGUAGCACAAAAUCCCUCUCACCUUGGAGGUCCUGACUGCAGCUCUGCCUUUUCCUCUGUGGUCGGGGGACAAGGUGGCUGCUUUCCUCCUCCACUGACACGGCUCCUGCUCUGCUUAACAGAGGAGCAGGCCGAGUGCCACCCCAGGAGUUCCUCCAUUAGCUUUGCCGUCCCUGCAGGGCGCAUCUGCUCCAGGGUGCCUCAGUUUGUUCAAUCCAGGUGUGCAUAGGCGUGUAGCCACACCCUGACUAACCCAGGUGGCCUCCAGUUGGGCCUGCCUGACUCAGUCUCGGCUUAGAAGUGAAGUCCCUGUGCAGCGAGUCAGGCCCUGACAGUGACCCUGGGCUCCAGGUCUUCCUCCUUGUUUGGAAUCUCUUCUGGAAGAAGCAACACUACUAAGUUUUACGUGCACCAAAGGAAUCUGGCACUUAGAGGAACCAAGAGUGACUCCUUUGGUAAAAGAGAGAGAUCCAAACCCGGUUUGGAUUUUUGUUAACUUUCCAGUUUGGAGGCUCUCAGGUUGGCUUAAAGCAAGAUGCCCUUGAACCGUCUUCUUUGCCCUUCUAAUUUCACACUGUUUUUCUACUCAAAUUAAAAGAUGGAAACCAAGUUGGAAAUUGGCAGAAUAGGGCAAAUCUGAGGAAGGGCAAGAGUCACCCUUGAGAAUCAGUUUGAUAAGAAGCCCCAACUGAAGUGAGAGCCUCAGGCUAUGGGGGCAAAGCAGCAGGCACAGAUCACUCCCUGAACCAGUGGAUAGAUGGUCUCCUGCUUAAACAUUCAUUUCGCUAAGCCUUGUGCUUUCAGCAAGAACUUCAACAAUUUUACAAGCUCCCCUCGUCCCCC
ensembl:lncRNA